UGCAAGUCGAGCGGAUGAAGAGAGCUUGCUCUCUGAUUCAGCGGCGGACGGGUGAGUAAUGCCUAGGAAUCUGCCUGGUAGUGGGGGACAACGUCUCGAAAGGGACGCUAAUACCGCAUACGUCCUACGGGAGAAAGCAGGGGACCUUCGGGCCUUGCGCUAUCAGAUGAGCCUAGGUCGGAUUAGCUAGUUGGUGAGGUAAUGGCUCACCAAGGCGACGAUCCGUAACUGGUCUGAGAGGAUGAUCAGUCACACUGGAACUGAGACACGGUCCAGACUCCUACGGGAGGCAGCAGUGGGGAAUAUUGGACAAUGGGCGAAAGCCUGAUCCAGCCAUGCCGCGUGUGUGAAGAAGGUCUUCGGAUUGUAAAGCACUUUAAGUUGGGAGGAAGGGCAGUAAAUUAAUACUUUGCUGUUUUGACGUUACCGACAGAAUAAGCACCGGCUAACUCUGUGCCAGCAGCCGCGGUAAUACAGAGGGUGCAAGCGUUAAUCGGAAUUACUGGGCGUAAAGCGCGCGUAGGUGGUUUGUUAAGUUGGAUGUGAAAUCCCCGGGCUCAACCUGGGAACUGCAUUCAAAACUGACAAGCUAGAGUAUGGUAGAGGGUGGUGGAAUUUCCUGUGUAGCGGUGAAAUGCGUAGAUAUAGGAAGGAACACCAGUGGCGAAGGCGACCACCUGGACUGAUACUGACACUGAGGUGCGAAAGCGUGGGGAGCAAGCAGGAUUAGAUACCCUGGUAGUCCACGCCGUAAACGAUGUCAACUAGCCGUUGGGAGCCUUGAGCUCUUAGUGGCGCAGCUAACGCAUUAAGUUGACCGCCUGGGGAGUACGGCCGCAAGGUUAAAACUCAAAUGAAUUGACGGGGGCCCGCACAAGCGGUGGAGCAUGUGGUUUAAUUCGAAGCAACGCGAAGAACCUUACCAG
rnacentral:rRNA from 1 species